CUACGGGACGCAGCAGUGGGGAAUAUUGGACAAUGGGGGAAACCCUGAUCCAGCAAUGCCGCGUGUGAAGAAGGCCUGCGGGUUGUAAAGCACUUUCGGUUGGGAGGACUGCUUCUAGCACUAAUAUUGUUGGAAGUUGACGUUACCUUCAGAAGAAGCACCGGCUAACUCCGUGCCAGCAGCCGCGGUAAUACGGAGGGUGCAAGCGUUAAUCGGAAUUACUGGGCGUAAAGCGCGCGUAGGCGGCUAGAUCAGUCGGGUGUGAAAGCCCCGGGCUUAACCUGGGAACUGCAUCCGAUACUGUCUAGCUUGAGUACAGGAGAGGAGAGUGGAAUUCCACAUGUAGCGGUGAAAUGCGUAGAUAUGUGGAGGAACACCAAUGGCGAAGGCAGCUCUCUGGCCUGAUACUGACGCUGAGGUGCGAAAGCGUGGGAGCAAACAGGAUUAGAUACCCCAGUAGUC
rnacentral:rRNA from 1 species